rnacentral:rRNA from 1 species
GAUGAACGCUGGCGGCGUGCCUAAUACAUGCAAGUCGAGCGAACAGACGAGGAGCUUGCUCCUCUGACGUUAGCGGCGGACGGGUGAGUAACACGUGGAUAACCUACCUAUAAGACUGGGAUAACUUCGGGAAACCGGAGCUAAUACCGGAUAAUAUAUUGAACCGCAUGGUUCAAUAGUGAAAGACGGUUUUGCUGUCACUUAUAGAUGGAUCCGCGCCGCAUUAGCUAGUUGGUAAGGUAACGGCUUACCAAGGCAACGAUGCGUAGCCGACCUGAGAGGGUGAACGGCCACACUGGAACUGAGACACGGUCCAGACUCCUACGGGAGGCAGCAGUAGGGAAUCUUCCGCAAUGGGCGAAAGCUUGACGGAGCAACGCCGCGUGAGUGAUGAAGGUCUUCGGAUCGUAAAACUCUGUUAUUAGGGAAGAACAAAUGUGUAAGUAACUAUGCACGUCUUGACGGAACCUAAUCAGAAAGCCACGGCUAACUACGUG